rnacentral:rRNA from 1 species
UACGUAGGGUGCGAGCGUUAAUCGGAAUUACUGGGCGUAAAGCGUGCGCAGGCGGUUUUGUAAGUCAGAUGUGAAAUCCCCGGGCUUAACCUGGGAACUGCAUUUGUGACUGCAUGGCUAGAGUGCGGCAGGAGGGGGAUGGAAUUCCGCGUGUAGCAGUGAAAUGCGUAGAUAUGCGGAGGAACACCGAUGGCGAAGGCAAUCCCCUGGGCCUGCACUGACGCUCAUGCACGAAAGCGUGGGGAGCAAACAGG